ensembl:lncRNA
CUCAGAUGAGCUGAGAAGCCGGGCUGCUUGUUCACCUGAAGAGAGCUUCCAGUCUGCAUGAAAGAUGAUGCCUCAGCCACUCCCAGCGGGCCCCUUAUUUAUUGUUCACUGUAACUUCUCUCUCCUACCAGCAACCAGAGACUGGCUCGAUAGACUUCUGUGAUGACAGGUGACCAAAAGGAUCACUUUCCCCCCAAAAUGCCUUGUUUUGACAGGUAUCUGGAAGAACAAAAAGGCAGCUCUUUUAUUCUAAAUACCAAGGCACUGAAAACAAAGGAAGAACUCUAUGUACGUAUUUAAUUCCCUAGGCAAGUGAGCCUCAUGACUUGGGAUCAUUACUUCCUCCAAAGCUAGCCUUAAAUGGAGAACCAUAUUAAUAGUCUCUCAGUAUUUGCUUAAUGGCUUUCAAACUGGUCCAUCUCUCCACGCAAAAGGAAUAUAAAAAUUAAGUCCUGGGGCAGUGGAAAAUAUCCACAUCAGCAGAAGUUGGGACAGUCCUCAAGCAAAGAGAAGAGCAGUAAAGGAAAGUCCCUAAGAGAGGUGGAAGAAGAGAUGAGAGCAAACAGAAGAUGAAGCAGAUGCAAGAAGCAUCUGCUCAGGAAGGUCAGGAAGCAUGAGGAGGAAUGGGAAAAGGAAAUGGUCUGGCUGUAAAGAGAGGCUGAUAUAAACAGGAGAGGGGACAGUCAUACAUCUGCAUUGCCAUGCCCAGCUUUGCCUUCAGGAGCUCAGGGAUAAUGCUCACAGAUUGAAGAGUGUGCAUGGAGGAGCUAUGCACACAACAUCAGCCACCACAGAACAAACCUUUAGGUGAAAACUCAACAAGAACAGCUGUUUCAAGGAGAGAAAAAAAAAAAAAAAAGAUCCACUGCCUUCUGGAUAAAACCAAAAAUUCUGGUCAAAUGUCAGGUACAUCAGCAAAGACAACCAACCCCUGGGCCAACUCACAAGGGCCAGGUUAGUUUUCAUGGCUAAUCAUUUCAAGACUGGGUCUGGAUGCUUCUCUUGGAGGCAAGCGGUAGUUCAAGUACAGAUUUAUGAAAUGCAGGAUUAGCCUGGCGACAAUUCUUACAGCCUCCUCUAGCUUUGCGCACUUACUCAAGACCCAAAGAGGUGGGGAGGUGGGUGAAAGAGGUGGGGCAGGGAAAGAAAAUAAAGAGGUAGAGGGAAACAAAGAAAGCAUGUUGAUAAUCAUAGAAUCACAGAAUGGCCUGGGUUGAAAAGGACCAUAAUCACCACCUGGCUUCAACCCCCCUGCUAUGUGCAGGGUCACCAACCAGCAGACCAGGCUGCCCAGAGCCACAUCCAGCCUGGCCUUGAAUGCCUCCAGGGAUGGGGCAUCCACAACCUCCUUGGGCAACCUGUUCAGUGUGUCGCCACACCCUGUGUGAAAAACUUCCUCCUAAUAUCUAGCCUAAACCUCCCCUGUCUCAGUUUAAAACCAUAAUGAACUAGAAUGAGGAAAAACAGCCUAAAAAGAGAAAGCACAAUAUGCAUAAUAAUUUUAUUUCUUCUCAUUGAACACACAUGGGAAAUAAACUGGACAAGAGAAACCAACUCUGUGCAGGAGAAUGGGGCUGGAAAUACAAAAGCAAGCUUUGGUUUUUUUUCUUUGUUUCAGAAUAUUUUUUCAAGGGUGAUUUUUUUCAAGGGUGCAGUUCUUAGCACCAGAGAAGCCAGGUCCAGCUCACCCUGUGGCACAUUUACCACCAGGUGAUGCACGAUGCCUUGUGACAGUAAGGCAGAAAAAUGCUCAACAUGCCCCCCAGCCACGCUUACACUGCAUAAUUCUUGCAGAUGACAAGAAUCCUUAGAGCCAGUGACCUCAUCUCCAAAUGAAAUGUAUAAACAGAUGCUCUUCUAAAGCCACUGUAUUCCUCCACAUGCUGCCUCGAUCGAUACAGCUGUGGUUUACUUACUCCACCGUUCCAAGUUACGUGACGAGGUACAACUGCGAAACUCUACCUGGACUUCAGCUCUGGGGGGGGAAAUUGGAUGUGUGCAGGCACGGUGAUGUAUGCAAAAAAGAAAGGAGACACCAGGAUAUGAGGUAUCAGUGUAUGAAAGCACAGGAAGCACAAGACUACCAAUGUGAAGUGUCUCUCGUGGCAUCCUCCAGCAACAGCUCUGGGGUGAAGUGACAGAAUCACAUCAAAUUGGAUUCUCUGCGUAAUGGCACAAAGACCUGAACAUUAUAAUCAGGGGUAGCUAAGCAGGUAAAUUGUAAAGAGCAAAUCUAAAAGUAGUGAUCAAUUCAUUAGCCACAGAAGCUUUGAAACAAGUUCUUUUGUCUUGGUUAUAGUUUCCAUCAAUGAACACAGCAAGGAAGUUGGUUUACUGCAGCAGAGCGUGCUUCUGUUGCCUUUGCUGGUCCAUGAGAGAGAUCAGUUCUCUCAGCAGAUCCCAGCUUACGCCUGGCUUUGCUCUAAAAACCACGUCCAGAAAAACACAAGCAACAGGAAGUUCUCGGUGUGUAAACACAAGGUAAAAGCUUACACUUUCUGCAGCUGAGCACUACCACUAACGACAACAAUAAAAAGGCAGAAUAUGUGCACAGCAUCAUACCAUGUAUAUAAAAAGCCAUAGGCUAAAGCUCAACAUUUGUAGAUAAAUACGACACCUAGAAGUCUUAGGAAAUUAAAACCAGGAGCUUUCUUUUUUUUCUGCAAACCUCCUUUUGCUUUCACCUACAUUCAUGUUUCAUGCGCUCAGCUUCUUCAUUCCAAGACAAAGAAAGAAACAAACAUCUGACAGCCUCUUCCCCACCCCUCCAUCUUUUCCUCCUUCAGCCCCAAACGGUCUCUCUGCAGCUGGUGCAAUACUACCCUGGAUCAGCUCCGUGAGCUGCAUUUCCCUGAGCUGCCCCAAGCAGCAUUCACUGUGGAGAUUAUCAGGAAGAGAGACCAAAAUGCUCUUAAUGUAGAGAU